GCGGCGUUCUCCUAGUGGUCUAUGGAGUCGCACUUAAGCGAUUACGUAAUCACUUAAAUAUGCGAUGGACUCAAGUCCGCGUGAGUUCGAACCUCACACGCCGCA